CUUUUUGCGCAGAGGCAUUAUUGUAACCAAUGAUGUUAAUCCGAGGUGCGAUUAUUGCUAGUUGAAAACUUUACCAAUACUAUCAUCCCUUUUUUUUGUGGGGGGAAAAUCAUCCAAUGGCUUCUCCCACCUUGGGCGAGGC